rnacentral:rRNA from 1 species
GACGAACCGUGCAAACGUUGUUCGGAAUCACUGGGCUUAAAGGGCGCGUAGGCGGGCUAUCAAGUCAGGGGUGAAAUCUUUCGGCUCAACCGGAAAAUUGCCUUUGAUACUGAUGGUCUCGAGGGAGGUAGGGGCAUGUGGAACUUCCGGUGGAGCGGUGAAAUGCGUUGAUAUCGGAAGGAACGCCGGUGGCGAAAGCGACGUGCUGGACCUUUUCUAACGCUGAGGCGCGAAAGCUAGGGGAGCGAACGGG